UAGGGAAUCUUCGGCAAUGGGGGGAACCCUGACCGAGCAACGCCGCGUGAGUGAAGAAGGUUUUCGGAUCGUAAAGCUCUGUUGUUAAGGAAGAACGAGUGUGAGAAUGGAAAGUUCAUGCUGUGACGGUACUUAACCAGAAAGGGACGGCUAACUACGUGCCAGCAGCCGCGGUAAUACGUAGGUCCCGAGCGUUGUCCGGAUUUAUUGGGCGUAAAGCGAGCGCAGGCGGUUAGAAAAGUCUGAAGUGAAAGGCAGUGGCUCAACCAUUGUAGGCUUUGGAAACUGGUUGACUUGAGUGCAGAAGAGGAGAGUGGAAUUCCAUGUGUAGCGGUGAAAUGCGUAGAUAUAUGGAGGAACACCAGUGGCGAAGGCGACUCUCUGGUCUGUAACUGACGCUGAGGCUCGAAAGCGUGGGGAGCGAACAGG
rnacentral:rRNA from 1 species